AAUUUCUCUCUCUUCACUUUUCUCUCUGAAAAUAUUCUCUCACUUUCUCACACUUUCCCAGAUAACUCAACCCAUCUUCAAAAGCAGAAAAUUUUCCCUCAAGGAAGUGGUUUUCCUUACCACAAAGACAGACAGAUUCAAUUCAAGAAACGGGUUCAAAGAUUUUCCCCAGAAAAUCUGAUCCUCUCUCUUCAAACGGGUUUUUAAUUUUGAAAUGCUUAGUGAAUUUAAUUUUUCUGUUUCUGCAGACUACGGUGAUGAAAAAGUUAUCUAGAAAGUUUCCAAUCUUCUCAAAUCUUCCUGAAUGCUCUAAGGUCUCCUUAAAUAGAAAGGGUAAUGGUUUUCUUGGAAGUCGAGGCCGAUGAUGCCUAUGUCAGAGAGGAAGACCGAAGACUAAUGGGAUUUUUUGUGCUUUCAUAUGGUUUAGACUAAUGGUUUUUUUUUUUUGGGGGGGGCGGGGGGGGCAUUCUGAUUUGUUUGCAAGUUCCUGUUGAUUUGGUUCUUGUUUAUAAUGAAAAAGCUGUUUUUGGAAUUUCCUGGUUCUUGUAUGCUAUUGAUUUUAUUUACUAGACUCUUAUAUUUUGUAUAAUUUUGAAUGCCUUUCUUGGUAGUCUUAGCUGUACCCAUUUGGUUUUUUAUUCUAAUUGGUGUGAAAUAUCCUUUCAAAUGUAUACGGACUUGAAUUAAUUUUCAUGUUUCUGUUAUGGAAGCUCAUCUUAAAAAUAUUUAUCAAAAAAAUUUAGGAAUAGCCAAAGAAACUGUAUCUGAAUUGUGAUGAUCGUAUAGAUUUUAGAGAUGAAAACCUUUCUCCUAUCAAAAUUUAAUAGUUUUCAUGGUUGAUUUUUGUUAUUUUCCAUUCUGUAUUGAUUAUGUAUUAUUAAAUGUUUGUUUCUCCAACUGCAGUUGAUAGACAAGAAUCCAAGCAAGGCAAUUUCCCUGUUCUGGUCUGCCAUAAAUGCUGGGGACCUGGUUGAUAAUGCUUCAAAUUGAAUAUUUGUUGCUUAAGAGCACUCUAAUUUGUAUUGAUGCUGAGUGUUUAAUUGUUGACAGUUGAGUUUGAAAAAAAGAAGGGAAAAAAUAUUCUAUGGCAAGGGUACCCUAAUCCAUCAGCAUUCACAUAUGAAAGGCGCUUCUUCCGUCCUUUUGAGUAUGCUCUCCAGCCCCCUCUGUCGUAUAAGCCAGAGCAUGUAGCUGUAAACAAGCCUGAGGUACCUUUUGGGGUGUCUGAACUGAAGCAAUAUGAUGGACCUCAGUGUUUUGUUAUUCCCAGAAACCAUGGAGAAACCAUAACAUUGCGACACAAAAAUCACUUAAUACAUAAAGUGCCUGCUGGUGAUUCUCCCUAUGUCAGGGCUAAACAUGUUCAGAUUUCUUAGAGGGCAAGGUCUUGCUGGUACACUUCCACCAGCUCUAGCGAAGCUACCCAAACUGAAAUCUAUGAGCAUAGAGAGCAAUCAAUUUUCUGGAAUUGUUCCCCCUGAGCUUGGAAAUUUGCUUAACUUGGAGUAUCUAGAUCUGGAAGGGUUGAAGAAGAGAUUGAAAUGCUUCAGCUCAAGCUGAAGCAUAUUGAAGAAGGUAUAGCUUUCAGUGGAAGGAGGGCAAAGACAGCUAGAUCUCUAGGGAAGAAGGUUCAAAUAACUGUCGAGCAGGAAAUUUCAAGACAAAUUAGUGAUUUAUUUGGAGAAGGCUCAAAAUUUCUGUCCUUGCGUGGUGUGACAAACAUGAGCAAAUUGUUGUUGAGGAGCUGCAAUAUCAAUUUAUAGGCGCAAAGAGCUCAAGAAAACUCUUGAAAUCAUCUUCAAUUGAGCUACCUAGUAUGUGUUGGGAUUCUUGGAUGCAGAUCACUUUGACCCCUUGCAAUCUGUGGGGACAGCUCCAAGGUGGAGGCCUCCUGAUGUGGGUUGGGUAAUACGGAAUGUUGGGAUGUCUACUCUUAUUUGAACCCUAUAAUAGUGCUGCAUAAACACGUUCAAAAUUAUAACUAAGUUGACAUCUUUGACACCAUACAUUCCCUUCACAUAGUGGCUUUCAGAAAUUGCGUUGAUUAUUAAUUACUACAAGCACGUAAACUCAAAUUACAGUAGUAGAGAAUCAAGUACAGUACAUGAAGGUGAUUCCUAAAGCAAAGGAGAAUUAAAAUCUCCCAUUAAACAUUUCAACAGGUUUUCUAGGCAAAAGCAUUGGGUUAACGACCUGAAUGAGUCUUUUUGGUAAUGUCAUCUUAACAAAGUUAUGAAGAUUGAGACAAUCUUUAAACAUAUCAGCAGUGGGCCUCCUUCCGGUGAACAUUUCCAACACAAGGAUUCCAUAUAUGCACCCCCCUGAGUUGAUGCCUACCACCCAUGCCAUACUCCUUCCAAUGCCUGCUGGUGAUUCUCCCUAUGUCAGGGCUAAACAUGUUCAGAAAUCGAUUUCAGGUCCUCCAUAAGCACCAUGGGACAACAGAUGAACCUCCCAAACCCCAGACACAAUGACAACCCCUGCCAGCAGCCUACUACAAACAACAAAAGCAGGGAAGAAAAUCUGGCAGCACAUAACAGAGCUCAUUCACAGCUGAAUUCUCAUCUUAGGGCAGAGAGCUUGAUCACUGACUGAAAGUUUAGAAGGAAGAAAAGCCCCAGGCUCUAUCUCACAUCAUUCAAGAUAUUCUUCACGAUGUGACUCCGAAAUCAAGGGCCCUAAUGUGGUAUCUGAUUUCUAAACCUCCAAAUGUGAUAUACUGUGGCUGCACAACAAGUUUACCCACUCUUACUGCAAAUUUCUUGCUAACCAGUUGAGAACACCCCCAUUGCAUCAACUCCAACCAGUCACAGGCGACACUUCUGCCAAGACAGAACCAAUUCACCUGCUUCCAAACACUUUGAAAGAAAUGGUCCCUGCAUUCUGCCCUGCUCCUGCCGAAAAUACUAAGUAAACUACCAUGCCAACCCCAUGAAGUCAUCCUAUCUCAAGUAGAUAGCCUGUUUUUAAUAGCCAACUACAAGAUAAAGCCCUACUUAAGGAUGACAGCAGCAUCCAACACCAAUUUCCACCAAUCCACAUCACUACUCCUUACUCUAAUGGCUUCCCAAGCAUAAUGGCAGGAAAAAACACAACUUAUGGUAAGAGUCCACCUCACCUUAUCUUCGUCAUGCAACUAAUCCAGCAAGCAUCCUAACUAGACAGCUCUUACAGUAUCACUUCUAGGUGGUCUCUGUUGCCAUUCGCCAUUCAAAAUAACACUACACACUUUAGCCUCCUUGAAACUGCCAUCAACACCAAUCACGAUCAAUCGAGUCCAAAAAAAUCAACUAUCAUUAUAGGUCUAAUUCUAUGUGUAGACCAUAAUGUCCCCACCUCCCAUGAAAUUAUUCGUUACAUUUGGUCUAAUUUAGGUCCUGUUGGUGGCCGAUUAAAAUUGGACUGGCCUACAUGGCAGAAAAUAUGUGUUGGCAUAGCAAGAGGUCUAGCUUUCUUAAAUGAGGAAUCAACACUAAAAAUUGUUCAUAGAGACUUCAAAUCUACUAAUGUAUUACUUGUUGGUGACCUUAACCCUAAGAUCUCUAUUCUGGUUUGGCCAUGCUUUAUGAAGAGAACACCUACAUUAGCACCAGAUUGGUGGAACCAUGUGAGCUACCUUCCUUCCUUAAAAAACUAAAUAUUCUUACAUAUAUAUGGAAAUAAGAUUAAUAAUUUAAAUUAUUGAUAAAUCCUAAUAAAAAACUAAGAUUAUGGUGUUAAAGCCUGUUCCAAUCCCUUGUGUGUGUGUGUGUGUGUUUAUUUUAUUUUUUAUUUAUUUAAAUAUGUCGUUAAUCUGACCAAUAUUGGGUUGGCUAAAUACCAGUCGGCCCAAUUAAAAAGCCCUCUAUUGGAUUCAAUUGCUCAAGAAAGGAGGGCGGUGAUCGGCUGCGACGACAGCACCAUGAACCCCCUCAAUUCCAAUCCCACUCUUGUUGAUUAAAAUUUUUGACGUACUAGUGUACUACACUACUUUAUGACAAAUAAUUUGUGUAGUGAAUGCUCUUGUUGAAAUAGCUAAACAAUUGGGAAAGAAAGACUAGAGUUUCAAUGUGGACCCAUGCAGUGGUAAAGGCCUAAGCUAGAUGACAACACAAGUGAAUUCUAGGCCACUCUAUGACAACAAAACUUUCAUCUACAAUUGCAACUACAUUGAUGGUGUAUACCGCGUCCUUGAAUUGUAUGUACUAAGCUUAUUUUUGUUUAUUGAUUGAUUUGUUUAAAGUCCAAACUUAGGAAAUAGUGCAUAGUGAUACAACCAUUGGUAGACAUCAAAAUUUUAUGAUGUAUUUACAAUCGUCCGAUUGUUUAUGAUCAAAUAUUUGUGAUCAAAUUAAUCUCUUAUUGAUGAUGUGGACGAUCAGCAAAUGAAAUCAAGCCACGUGACAACAUCAAAUGAAGAAAUCCAUGUGGCAACAUCAGAAGAAAAGACUCAUAUAGAAAGUUCUUAUUAAGCGAAAGACCAAAUUAAAUUUAUUAUUAAUUCUCAAUAAAUGCUGAGAGAAAAUUUUAAAUCAAAUGCUAUUGAGUUGCAUAUAAAUAGAUGCUUGUCAUAUGAGAAAAGGGAGAGAGAAAAACCCUAAUGACACUCUACAAAAAUAGAGAGUCAUCUUUAAGUCCAAAAGAGCACCCUUGCUCCCUUAAAAUCAAGGCUCAUUUUUACUUCUUCAAAUCAAAAUAGGGAUUUUCCUUCAUUUUAGUUUGAGAUCAAACCAACGACCCUCAACUUCAAAUCAAAACUCAAAUACAUCCAAUCACAAAUCCAACUUGGAGACAUCAAAGUACAAUUCAAUAUCAAGUUUCAUAACCCUUCAGAAUGUAAAGUUUCCUGAAGAUCGAAUCAGGAGAGUUUUAUUAUAUUUUUU